AUUGAACGCUAGCGGGAUGCCUUACACAUGCAAGUCGAACGGAGUGGCGAACGGGUGAGUAAUGUAUCGGAACGUGCCCAGUAGCGGGGGAUAACUACGCGAAAGCGUAGCUAAUACCGCAUACUAUUGGAGCGGCCGGUAUCGGAUUAGCUAGUUGGUGGGGUAACGGCACACCAAGGCGACGGUCCGUAGCUGGUGUGAGAGGACGAACAGCCACACUGGGGCUGAGACACGGCCCAGACUCCUACGGGAGGCAGCAGUGGGGAAUUUUGGAAAAUGGGGGAAUCCCUGAUCCAGCCAUCCCGCGUGUGCGAUGAAGGCCUUCGGGUUGUAAAGAACUGUUGGCAGGAAAGCGGUACCUUCAGAAUAAUCACCGGCUAACUCCGUGCCAGCCGCCGCGGUAAUUC
rnacentral:rRNA from 1 species